rnacentral:rRNA from 1 species
CAGUAGCACGGGAAUACGAAGGGUGCAAGCGUUAAUCGGAAUUACUGGGCGUAAAGCGUGCGUAGGCGGUUUGUUAAGUCUGUUGUGAAAUCCCCGGGCUCAACCUGGGAAUGGCAAUGGAUACUGGCAAGCUAGAGUGUGUCAGAGGAUGGUGGAAUUCCCGGUGUAGCGGUGAAAUGCGUAGAGAUCGGGAGGAACAUCAGUGGCGAAGGCGGCCAUCUGGGACAACACUGACGCUGAGGCACGAAAGCGUGGGGAGCAAACAGGAUUAGAUACCCCAGUAGUCCCUGUCUCUUAUACA